CCACAUUGCAGGCAGACGCUUUACCAUCUGAGCCACCAGGGAAGACCAAGUGUAAGGAAAGCCUCUCUGUUACUGCUGCUUUUAAACACAGCCAGGAGAAAGCCCCGGCACCUUCUUCCUCUACGCUUCAUUUGAUCUGGAUGUGGCUGAUACCUGGGACUGUUAGAGGCCAUCCUGAAACCAGGACAGAGCCUAGAUGCGGAAGGUGGGAGAGAAAUGAACAUCCUCAGUGAUGGAGGUGGGAAAUGCCCAGUUCCAACCUCCAAGCCCAGAGUAUUUCCCUCAAUGAACAAAGAUGGAGCAGAGACAGACAAUUUACAUCACAAGCUGGACAACUGACGUGUAACUGAAGGAAUGGUAACUGAAGGAAUCUUUCUCUAUAUUGUUGUGAUUCUUAGUGGCAGUUCUGAGUUCUAUUAUUAAAACUGAGUGUCACUAUCAGACA